CCUUAGAGUCACCUGGCUGUUUGGGUAAACAUUUAUGGGUUGAGGAGGGGCUUGCGUCUGAUUAGCUAGUUGGUGAGGUAACGGCUCACCAAGCCGACGAUCGGUAGCUGGUUUGAGAGGAUGAUCAGCAACACUGGGACUGAGACACGGCCCAGACUCCUACGGGAGGCAGCAGUGGGGAAUCUUAGACAAUGGGCGCAAGCCUGAUCUAGCCAUGCCGCGUGGGUGAUGAAGGCCUUAGGGUCGUAAAGCCCUUUCGCCGGGGAAGAUAAUGACGGUACCCGGUAAAGAAACCCCGGCUAACUCCGUGCCAGCAGCCGCGGUAAUACGGAGGGGGUUAGCGUUGUUCGGAAUGACUGGGCGUAAAGCGCGCGUAGGCGGAUCGGAAAGUUGGGGGUGAAAUCCCGGGGCUCAACCCCGGAAUGGCCUUCAAAACUCCCGGUCUUGAGUUCGAGAGAGGUGAGUGGAAUUCCGAGUGUAGAGGUGAAAUUCGUAGAUAUUCGGAGGAACACCAGUGGCGAAGGCGGCUCACUGGCUCGAUACUGACGCUGAG
rnacentral:rRNA from 1 species